rnacentral:lncRNA from 1 species
GUGUGAAACGAGGUGUGUGGAGAACAAUGCUUUAAGAUUGAAAUUCCACCCCUCAUGCAUGUCUAUGAUAAUAACAUCCCCAAAAUAUUGCAAUCUAAUUGAGUCCUAUCUUCCUCUAAUGAGCAUGAUCGCUUAGGGGGCUACAUCAGAUUAACUCCUUCAACUUUCCAGAUGAAAGAUUGCAGAAAAAUAAUGGCGAAGAAAUGGAAAAGAAUGGGAAG